CCCUUAGAUGUCCGGGGCUGCACGCGCGCUACGCUGACUGGCUCAGCGUGUGCCUACCCUACGCCGGCAGGCGCGGGUAACCCGUUGAACCCCAUUCGUGAUGGGGAUCGGGGAUUGCAAUUAUUCCCCAUGAACGAGGAAUUCCCAGUAAGUGCGGGUCAUAAGCUUGCGUUGAUUAAGUCCCUGCCCUUUGUACACACCGCCCGUCGCUACUACCGAUUGGAUGGUUUAGUGAGGCCCUCGGAUCGGCCCCGCCGGGGUCGGCCCACGGCCCUGGCGGAGCGCUGAGAAGACGGUCGAACUUGACUAUCUAGAGGAAGUAAAAGUCGUAACA
rnacentral:rRNA from 1 species